CACCUCUAGCAUACCAAGUAUUAGAGGCACUGCCUGCCCAGUGACUAAAGUUAAACGGCCGCGGUAUCCUGACCGUGCAAAGGUAGCAUAAUCACUUGUUCCUUAAUUAGGGACUAGAAUGAAUGGCCAAACGAGAACUCAACUGUCUCUUAUUUUUAAUCAGUGAAAUUGACCUUUCCGUGAAGAGGCGGAAAUUACAUUAUAAGACGAGAAGACCCUAUGGAGCUUUAGCUUAUUAGCCUAUCUACUCAUAUUAAAACCCUACUGGACCAACAAAAAAAAUUAUUAGGCUAAAAGUUUCGGUUGGGGUGACCUCGGAGAAUAAAAUAACCUCCGAACGAUUAUAACCAAGACCUACAAGUCAAAGUAAUAUACAUCUCAUUGACCCAACUUUUGAUCAACGGACCAAGUUACCCUAGGGAUAACAGCGCAAUCCUAUUUAAGAGUCCAUAUCGACAAUAGGGUUUACGACCUCGAUGUUGGAUCAGGACAUCCCAAUGGUGCAGAAGCUAUUAAUGGUUCGUUUGUUCAACGAUUAAAGUCCU
rnacentral:rRNA from 1 species